CCCCGCUCCCAGCAACUCCCUUUGCAUUACCAUGGAAGGUACUUGAGACUGUUCAGGUGUAUCCCAUUCUCUCACACUCUGUUAGCAUUAUAGUAGGGGGUGCUUAAUACCAAGGCCUUCCUUUUUUGCAUUGUUAAUAUGCAUAAUUGCAUUUGUUCAUCUUUCUCUGCAGUAGAUAAGAUUUCACUAACUUCCCUUGUAUUCAGCAGUGGAUGCCCUUUAUUCAAGACCUUUGUACUAGGAUAAAGUGAACCAUGGUAAUUGACCACAUUGUCAUUAGUUUUAGUCCUCUGUGCUCUCUGUAUUAAUUACUUAGUUACUUUUUUGGGGAUUUGUAUGCAAAAUUCCAAUAUUUAUGGUCCUUCUCUUUAAAUUAAUUUCCCACCCUUUUUUUUUUAUUACAUCGGGGGUGUUAGUAUCUCAAAGUACUUCUCUUGGGACUCUAAAUGUGCAUACAGCCUCUUGAUAAGCUAAUAUCUUUAUUUCUUAGUAUUAUGGCAGGGGGUACUGACCAUCUAAGGUCUUUCUUUUGGACAGUUAAUGUGCCAAAUUAUCCAUCCCCAUCCACCUUCUCUGAGUCAGGGGUGCUGACCAACUAUAAGUGCUUCUCCUAUAUAGUUUAAAUAUGCAUAAUUACAGUAACCAAUGGUCACUUAUGUUAGAUUGGGAUCUCAUUUCUUUGCCCCAUUUACAUUACUUCAGGGGCUUCUUACUAGCCAAGAGUAACUCUCUUAGACCGUUAACGUGCAUACUUAAAUUCACUCUUAUACCUGCACAGUAGAUAAGGAUUCUCCCCAUAAUAUUUAUAUUCCAGCAGGAGGUGCCUACUACUCAAGAUUUUGCACACUAAUGCAGCUAAUGUGCACUGCCUUCGUUGUCUUGUGCAUACUCAGUUGUCCACAAUUGUACCUUUUAGCUCAGGACUCCUGCAAUUACUAAAGCCUUUCUUUUGGGACUGUGGAUGUGUGUAGCUUCAGUUGUCCACUGUCCUUUGAGUUAACUUGGGUCCCUGAGUCUUUUCACAAUCUCUAAGCUUUUACCGCAUGGACUGUUAAUGUGCAUAAUGACAAUUACGUUAGGGUUCUUCCCCCUUUACACUCCCUCUGAAGUACUGCAGAAUAAGAAGUACUUAUUCUGACCCAUAAGGUCCCAAUCCAUGGCCUGUUACGAUGCAUGAUUAAAUUUAUCUGGGUUCCUGUGUACUAGAGAAGAAAACCUCUCCCCACUCCCUGUAUCUUCGAGCAGGGAGUGCCCCCUCUAACUUGGACUGUUAACACUUGAGCAGUCAAGGAACACAAUUUUAACUGACCAAAGCCAUGCACCAUGGACAUUAAUGUGUAUAAUUGCACAUGGCUCAUCCUAUUUGAAUAAGAUACUACCUUCUCAGACCCCUUUUGUAGUACAGCAGGGGUACCGAUCACUAAGGCCUUUUUUCAUGCCUUGUGAUUAUGCAUAAUUGCAUUUGCACAUUUUUCCUAUACACCAAAUAAGGACACCCUUCUCCCCACUCCCUUUAUCUUUUAGCAAGGAGUGCCCAUUACUAAGAUCUUGUAUCUGUAUAAGAUACGUGGUUUUAAUUGACCAUACUGUAUCCUUUGGACAUUAAUAUACAUAAUUGCAACUUAGUUCAUCCUACCCUGUUGUAUGUCAUUUGCAGUAUGCCAGGGUUGCUGAUCCCUAGCUUGUGCUGUUAAUGUGCAUAAUUGCAUUAGUCUGGGUUCUUGUGCACUAGACGAGGACAUCCUCUACCCCUACUUCUCUGCCUUCUAGUAGGUGGUCCCCACUGCUAAGACAUUUACAUUUGGAUGGUUAAUGUGCAGAAUUGUUUCCACAACUCUAUCACUUCCAAAACUAUCAUACCUGCUUCAUACUGCUGCAGGGGAUACUGUUUUCUCCCAAAGUUCCUUCUAGUAAACCGUUAAUAUUCAUAAUUGAAAUAGUCAUACACCCUCAGCUUCCCUUUGCAGUACAGCAGUGUGUACUGAUCAAUUAAGGCCCUCUGUUGGACUGGUAAUAUGUGCAAUUGCAUUUUUUUCCUGUUUUGUGCACUCAGUAAGGACCCUGCCUACUUCCUUACCAGGUUCAGCAGGUAGAGUCCACUACUUAAGACUCUUUCACUUGGAAAGUUCAUGUGUACAAAUGCAGUUUGCUAAGUAUGUGUUAUACUAGAGCCCCGUUUUGCUUUGGAGUAAGGAGAUGUUAUUUACCUAAUGCCAUUUCUUUUAGACUCUAAUGUGUAUAAUUACAAUUGUCCAUCUUUUUUGUUUGACUAGGAUUGCAUUCCCUCAAAUCCCCUUUGUAUGGGGGGGUGUUAACCAUAAAUGAGCUCUUCUCUUGAGAUUAUUAUUAUACAGACUUGUAUUUGUCUGUGGAUUUGUGCAGUGUGAAAGGAUGCCCUAUGCACCUACCACUGCCUUUGGAUUGCUGCUGAGGAGCGCUAUCAUGACCUUCGCUCUUGGACAAUUAAUAUGCACCACUAGCAAUGAUGGGACCUCUGUACCUGCUUUGUAUAUAUCAGGGGUACUAAGGCCCCCUUCUUGGACUGUCAAUGUGCAAUUAUCUAUGUCCCCUUCUGUUAGAUUUAGGAUAACUUUCCCUUAAAACUCCUUUGCAUUAAUGCAGGGGUUGCUGACCACACAAAACUCCUAGAACUAUUACUGGGCACAAUGGCAAUUAGCAAUGGGUUUUUCCUCCUUGGCCUUGUUAGGCAAACACUCCUAGCCCCAAUUUCCCAUACCAUAAUAAAGUAUAAACAUUGCAGUAUGCUGUGAACUUGUCCAUCAAAUAGCACCCCAUACUCCCUCUCCUUUUGCAUUGCCUCUAAGUAUAAAAUUCCAAGUAGUCAUGAUCUUCCUGUUACCUUCCCUCUUCCCACCCCUUGCUCACCCUUGGACCCUUCCUAUGCACCAUUCUCACAAUUUCAGUUAUUCAUGUAUUGGGCCACUAAAUAAGAUUGUGUUCUUCCCUCCCAUCCCUACCUUGCCCCUUUUGCAUCAUUGCUGGUGCAUGUUGACUGGGCAAGGCCCUUUCUCUUGGGCUUAAAACAUUAAUAAUCCCAGAUGUCAUUGCAUUACCCACUUUGUAUUGUUGUAAUGCCUCAGUUGCACUUUCCUUGGUCCCACCCAUCAGACAUGGACCCCUCCACUUUGCAUUGCUUCUGAGUAGUGCUGAGUACCCAAACUCCUUUCUGUGUUAUUAACACAGUACUGAUUGUCCCAUUUUUCAGCCCAAGAUUUUCCUACCAUUUUGAUGUGUUUGUGCAGUGAUGACUAUCCAAAGCAGGCCUGAAUCAGGUGGAUGGACCUUCAUUCCUUUUUUUGCAUUUGUUAAUGAUCCCAAUUCCAGUUGUCACAUUCUGGGACAGGAACCAUCCCUGCCCAUUUCUGUUACUGCUUUAUUGGGCAAAAUACUCAAGGCAAGCCAGGCCUAGAAAGCUGGAUUGCCACCCUUUAUUUUGGAUUUUCAAUAUAAGUAUCAGUUGAAAAUUGUCUCCCCAGGAAGAAAGGUUAGCAUUGCCUGUAUUCUUCCUUCCAGAGCAGAUUGCCUGGCCAAGAAUCUUGCUUCUCCUCUUGUAUAUUGCUAUUGUACUGUGCCAGUUGCCAGGGUACAAUUAAAAAAAUGCUGUUUGCAAAGUGAAAUUGUAAACCUGGUCAUUGAAUUUUUGAGGUCCAAAAACCUAUUUAUACCAUGUACCUGAUGACCAGUGUCUCUCAUUUUAUUAAGGGUGUUGGGUCUGUGGAUAGACCACUGUGACUCUUUGCUAUUCUAGUAUUCUCAAAAGAGUUUUAAGAGUGGAACUCUUAAGACCAAUAUCUUUGGGCUCUACCACCAUUUUAACACCCAUUCCUUAUUUGGGCUUUACCACUGUUCACUUUUCGAAAAACUACCUAAACUUUCUAAUCCUUAAAUUUCUUCAUCUGAAGCAUCCACCACCCCUUACUUAUUUCAAGAAGAUUGCUGUAAAAGAAUGAAAUGAGAGAACAUAUGCUGAGGCACUUUUGAAAACCAUAGAAUUAUGGUUGAUAAAUCUAUUACAUAAAUAAAAUGUGCAGUUUAAUUCUGCUAACUUAAAGUAGCCUGAAGCACUACAUUGAAGUGAGGGCUUAGAAAUGAUGGGAUCAAUUUCCCUGUUUUAUAUUGAAAAAUGAGCCAAGAUCUAAUCAUUCUUCUGGACGUGAAUUUCAACAGUGGGAUAGCUGCUUGGUAAAAUGAAUAAUAUCCUAGUCUCUAGUGUGCAGGGUGUGGCAGAGAAGUAUUUAAUAUGGAACUGCUGAAACAAAUAACUAGUCGUCACAACAGCAGUUCUUUGUAAUCACUGAAAAAGGAUACUAUUCCUCUGACAAGGAUGUCAAAAGAUCGGCCCAGCUCAGGGUGCAGUAUGCACUACUAGCUCCUUGGACAGCUGUAAGAAGAGUCUCUGGCUCUUUAGAAUACUGGAUGAAUUCUAAGCUGGGUCUGUACUCCCACUGAAGAGGAAGGAUGAAUCAAUUUUAAGUGGAUUGAAGCCUGCAUUAGAUAGCAUCUAAAGGACAUUCCGAGUAUGUGAAACCUGAGGACUGCAAGUAGCUCUCAUCAGCUUCACAUUCAGCAGAUCUUUCCUUUUGAGAAUCUGAAUAAACUCCAAGUAAUCUAAGAUGAUGACUUGCAGGCUACCUGGAAGAUAAAAGAUCUUCCUCUGAAGAAUAGGUUUGUUGCUCUACAGUGUUAGUGACCCAUUCCCUUUGACGAUCCCUAGGUGGAGAUGGGGCAUGAGGAUCCUCCAGGGGAAAAGCUCACUAUCACUGGGCAACAACCCUAGGCUAAGAGGUUGUACCAAGAUUCUUUCUUGGGCCUAGGUAGGAAGAUGAAGUCUCAAAACAACUGCCACACAUCAGAGCUCCUGAUUGUUCCCUUCUUAUCUACCAAAUCAUUGUCUCCCUAAAGCAAUGCAGAGAGCAAGAAAUUUGAACACAUCAAAGGAAGAUCAACAUGCCUGGCAUGCUAACAUUUUAGAACAGCAGAAUGAAUGUGUAUUUCUUUGUCUAUUUUUUUCUCAAAUCUCCUUGGUCUUCCUUCUCUAUCUGAAGUGUGUCUCAGCCAUUCCACGAUUCUCUUGCAGUUUCUUCUAUGUAUCUUUGUCUUGUUUUCUUGUUUGUUCCUAAGAGUUGUCUGUGUCUUAUCUUGGAUGUCUCCCUCUAGUUUUUUCAUUUUGUUACUGAUUCUCUUUGCUUUCCUAGAUCUGGUUCUUCUUUCACUGUUCUUCCUUUUGUGUCUCUGUGUCACAUGAUGUAUGCUUUUUGUCCAUUUUUUGUUCUGCCUAUACUUCUCUUCUUGUUCUGUUGUGAACCCUGAUUUUUUGUCUUCCCUUCCCCUUCUUGUUGGUUUGACAUUUCACCUUUUUUCAUUCUGCCUUCCCUUCUGCUUUUUCUACUCAUUAUCUAACAUUUCUUUUCUAUAUAUUUUUUCUGCCUCUUUUGCAAGACCAUUUUCUCUCUAUUUUGUCCUGCUUUGUCUCAGUGUCUCUUUUUUCUCUCUGUUU